rnacentral:lncRNA from 1 species
CUCCCUUUUCGAAACGUUUUGAAAGACAAUGAAACCAUCCCAAUGGAAUAUUAUUGAAGCCCUGGUUGAAAAAGCCCCUAAAGAUUUAUGUUAUACAACGUUUGACAUGUUUGAACGAACUUAAAUAUAUUUUUUUUGCUCAUUCCUGACGACAAGUCAGACGCACACGGUACAUUUUCACUAGCCUUCGGAGCGCGCUAACGCUAUUGGGACAUAAAUUAUUAACUUUUUUGAACAAACCUACAUUUGUUAUGGACCUGGGAUUCCUAGAAGUGCCUUCUGAUAAAGAUAAUCAAAGCAAUCGGCCACUAUUGCCAAGGAAGAGGAGGAGGAAGAUGAGAGGAAGUACAGCGAGGUGGGGGAUAUUCUCGCUGACCUGAAGAGGAGUCACAGUAGACAUAGUCCUUCAGAGCAUCGGGGGAGAGGGGGGGGGCAAGAGCUAUAGGAGCCUCACCCCCAGGGGCAGAGUUAUGGGAGCCUCACCCUGCCUCUGGUGAUGAGUCCUGGGUAUGACUACAGCACUGUCUACCUCCCCAGUCGGCAGCCCCAGAGACCGAGUUACAGAGGCCUUGCCCAGAGAGAGACGUCUAUAAAUGCACAACAAAGGAAUGUGGAUGCCAACGCUGGCCACCCUAGUAUUGACCACCAAGAGGAGGGCUAUGGAAAAGCCCCCUUCCCCAGCAGGGAGCCCCAGAGUGGGUCUUUUGAAAAGGAGUGUCUUGCCCUUCCUGUAGUAACAGUGCCCGGGAAUGGUGACAGUAAUGUUGCCUUUCAAAGGGAGACCUAUGGAAGCGCCCCCCACCCCAGGAUCAGAAAUCAAGUAGAGAGCAAUGGAAGAGAUGCCCUGCCCGGCAUGAAGGAGCAGAGUGGGUGCUAUGGAGGUCUUUGCCCUCGUAGAGUGGCAGAGCUAGGGGAGGCCUAUGGAAGACAAAUCCUGCCCAAUACCCACCUCCAACAGGGCCUCUCCAAAGCCUCUACCACCACUGCUCCGAUUCAAUUGGUGAAGAAGCACUCUGAACAACGUUUUAACCCUGUCUGAUGCCCAAGUCUCUCUCUGCCCCCAUGGAGCUGCCGCCACUCCUGGGAAAACAUACACAGGGUAUUGAGGUCGAUAGGCCAGUGGUCUAUUGGGUCUAAUAUCCUCAAGGAGUCUAUAUACCUGGCCUACAUCUCUGCCAUCCAGAACAGCAAACACUUCAUCUACAUACUGUAGAGGGAGAAAAGGCAGUUCCGGGUGUACAUAGUGAUGCCUCUGCUACCCAGAUUUGAAGGCGACAUCUCCUCAGGAGGGGGCCAAGCCAUCAAAGCCAUCAUGUACUUUAAUUACAGGACCAUGUGCCGGGGAGAUCACAUCGAGAGACUGAAAUGUUGGAAGCCUGCUGGAUCAACUACAUCUCGUUCUGUGGGCUGAGGACUCAUGCUGACCUGGACGACAGACUAGUCACUGAGCUGAUCUAUGUCCACAGCAAACUGGUCAUAGUGAACAAUCACACCAUCAUCCUCAGCCCUCUGACGACCACUCAGGUGACCAGCACCACUCCAGCCCGACCUUUCACCUCCAGUUCUAGCCCUGCUACCACCCGCCCCC